GGGUGACUAUUGCGAUCCACGUUUAUAUGUAGUUAAUGCUCAUGUCGAGUAACUAGACAUUAUGCCUCUGAUGUCGAUAAUCAGGUCGGCUGCUAACCGAAGUAAGAUGAAGGAGAUCGGAAGCAAAUUGAGGUGAGCGUUCCACUUACUAGCAGUUCUGGUUAAAUCAAUUAGCUGAUAAUACUGGAGAGACAGGUCGGUCAUGGGGCGAUGUAAUAUUUAACUCAGAUAAUAAUAAUCUGCUGCCAUGUGUCCAGGUGAUGAUG
rnacentral:lncRNA from 1 species